GCUCUCUUCCUUUUGUCUGCAAAGACGGUAAACUUUCAAUGGCAUCAGAAAACAGAAGGCCUUUCAGAGAGCACAAGAACUCUGCCUUCGCAAACAUGUGAAAAUAUGGAAAGAACACAUAUUUUGAAUUAAGAAAAUCAAGAGGAAUUCUCUCUCUCCAAAUUCAAAUAUCAAACUGCCAGAUAACUUAUCAAAUCAAGGAUGUGACAGAGCAGUUUCUAAGACUUAACAAGUUCACUGAUGGUUAUUCCUUCCUGCUAAUCCAGCACUUUCCAGCGGUAAGCAGACAGCUAACAAGAUUUGGGAAACUAAGCCAUGCUUAGGAUGGAACAGAACUUCAAGCCAGAAGAUAGGAUCAUGGAGCAAGUUGAAGAUGGAGAUGCUGCUGAAACUUCAUGCAGACCUUGUGCAUAUGCAGAGUAAAGGGAUGGAAACGUGAGAAAAUCCUGCUAUGCUACAAAAUACAUUCCCAGAUAUAAUGAAUUAUGUGUCACAUGCAACCUACAGAUCUGCUGCUUCAAAGCAUGAAUGUGGCCAAGUUAAUCGUUAAUCAAGUUCAUAACAAAACAUAUGUAACCAAUAGAAACAAAGAUGUGACUGUUGAUGCUCAAGUACCAGAAUGAAUUUAAAAAUGUAUGCAAAACUUUCUAGAACAAUUCUCCAAUGCUAUCUUUAGUAAAUGAUAUUGCCACAUGAUCCUGCAAUCCUAUAAUUACUUACCUAGAAGUGAGUCCUACUGACCUAAACAUGCCAUAUUUCUCUGACAUUUUUGUUCAUUGUUUUUUUUUUUAAUUCAGACCUGACUGGAUAUUGUUUCUGAGACAAUGAAUCACUUUGUCUUUCUACUGUGAUGUGUUUGUGAGAGAUAAAAAGAUUCUAUCUGUAUUUGUUUACUGUGCCUGUAUAAAAGAUAAAUA